CCUACGGGAGGCAGCAGUAGGGAAUAUUGGACAAUGGGUGAGAGCCUGAUCCAGCCAUGCCGCGUGCAGGAAGAAGGCGUUAUGCGUUGUAAACUGCUUUUGCCAGGGGAUAAAACGGUUCUGCGGAACUAAUUGAAGGUACCUGGUGAAUAAGCCACGGCUAACUACGUGCCAGCAGCCGCGGUAAUACGUAGGUGGCAAGCGUUGUCCGGAUUUAUUGGGUUUAAAGGGUGCGUAGGCGGCCCUGUAAGUCAGUGCUGAAAUAUCCCGGCUUAACCGGGAGGGUGGCAUUGAUACUGCAGGGCUUGAGUACAGAUGAGGUAGGCGGAAUUGACGGUGUAGCGGUGAAAUGCGUAGAUAUCGGAAAGAACACCGAUGGCGAAGGCAGCCUCCUGGGCCAGUACUGACGCUCAUGCACGAAAGCGUGGGGAGCAAACAGGAUUAGAUACCCUGGUAGUCCACGCCCUAAACGAUGUCAACUAGUUGUUCGGUGAGGAGACUCAUUGAGUAACGCAGCUAACGCGUGAAGUUGACCGCCUGGGGAGUACGGCCGCAAGGUUAAAACUCAAAUGAAUUGACGG
rnacentral:rRNA from 1 species